UACGUAGGGGAGCAAGCGUUGUCCGGAUUUAUUGGGCGUAAAGAGCUCGUAGGCGGCUAAGUAAGUCGGGUGUGAAAACUCCAGGCUCAACCUGGAGACGCCACCUGAUACUGCUUUGGCUAGAGUCCGGUAGGGGAGCAUGGAAUUCCUGGUGUAGCGGUGAAAUGCGCAGAUAUCAGGAGGAACACCAGUGGCGAAGGCGGUGCUCUGGGCCGGAACUGACGCUGAGGAGCGAAAGCGUGGGGAGCAAACAGG
rnacentral:rRNA from 1 species